rnacentral:siRNA from 1 species
UCAGAUGUUUACAUGUGUCAUUCA